rnacentral:rRNA from 1 species
AACGUAGGACACAAGCGUUAUCCGGAGUUACUGGGCGUAAAGGGCGUGUAGGCGGAUCGGUAAGUCUGCUCUGAAAGCUCCUGGCUAAACUGGGAGAGGCGAGCGGAGACUGUCGGUCUAGAGUGAGGAAGAGGAAAGUGGAAUUCCGCGUGUAGUGGUGAAAUGCGUAGAGAUGCGGAGGAACACCAGUGGCGAAGGCGACACGCUGGGCCGUACCUGACACUGAUGCGCGACAGCAUGGGGAGCAAACAGGAGUUAGAA